AUGGCCCUUCCUUCCACGUCCAUCGUCAACGGGAUGGCUGACGACGGUGCCAGUGGUGCCGGGGGUUCGACGGCGAGGGAUGGCGCAGAUGGCCUGGAACCCGCCACCAUCGAGAUCAACAUCAAAACCCUCGAGUCGCAAGUGCACAAGCUCCGCGUCGACAAGAAUGAGACUGUUCUGAACCUAAAGGAGAAGAUAGUAGAUGUCGCCGGGAUUCCUGUGGAGCAGCAGCGGCUGAUUUUUAGGGGAAGGGUCUUAAAGGAUGAUCACCUCUUGUCAGAAUACCACUUGGAAGAUGGAUAUACAUUGCAUUUGGUGGCUCGGCGCACAGCUGAGGGCCAACAUUCCUCUGAGACUCCUGAAGCAAACCCCAAUGCUAAUGUUAAUAAUGCUGGAAAUGGAGCAAUGCUCGGAGAUUACAUGUCCAGGGAAACUAUAGAUGUUAUGGUUUCCGAGGGGGUGAUAAAUGACAUUCCUGCGACUGUUCGGGAUAUUCUUGGUAACUUUCUUGGGAUGCCUGGUGGUGUGGCAAAUGCUACAUUCUCGGUGCCAUUAAACCAGCCCCCACCAGAUGGGGCCAAUAAUGGAAGAACUCAGCCAGGCCAGGCACCACCUGGGUUCUCAAUUCUCAAUCAUCAAAUUCAUGUGUCACAGCUUCCACCUUCCGGCGCUAUUCCUCACAACAUGGUUAUUCCUGAUUCCAUGACGACCCUUUUGGAGUAUAUCAAUCGCAUGGACCAAGUAUUGCAGAACAAUGGUGUUCCACCAUCCACGGACUCAAAUGCUCAGGAACCACCAACAUCAGCAACAGAUGAUGCUUACUUGAACCAAAGCUUUCCAAGUCCGGAGGUGCUGGCUUCAGUUGUUGAAAGGGCCCAACAACUUCUUGGCGGCAGUGCUUCUUCUGCGCUUUCUCAUCUUGCACAACGUAUUCAGACAGAUGCUGCCACUGCUGAUCCAUCUGUGCGAAGCCAGAUUCAGAAUGAGUCGGCACAGUUGGGAGUAGCGAUGCAGCAUUUGGGGUCUAUGCUUUUUGAGCUUGGACGGACAAUGAUGACGCUUAGAAUGGGACCAUCUCCUAUUAAUGCUUUUGUAAAUGCCGGGCCUGCUGUCUAUAUAACCCCCACAGGACCAAGUCCAAUCAUGGUUCAGCCGUCUUUCCAGAGUGCCCCUCAUUUUGGAGUUUCUAGCAUACCGCCAGUUUUUGGUGUCUCUGGUCCAUUUGGUAUUGUUGAUCCUUCUCGAGCAAAUGGUGUCAAUAUUCAUGGUGGUGCUUCUGCAACAAGUGGUCCAUCUGUUGGUUCAACCACUGCUUCUGCAACCACUGCCAAUGGGGAAAGCCAAAAUGCAGAAAGAACUCAAGGAGGCAACCCGCCGGCUACACGUGGAUUGCCACCACGAACAGUUGUUGCAGCUAUUCCGGCCUUUCCAGGGAGGUCCUCAGUUGGUGUUAUCCUUCCUGUUCAAAUGAGAAGCCAAGUGGCAGCACCUAACCAGUCAACUGGUCCUCAAGUUCCUCAGACUGCAGUGGGCAAUGGGUCUCAGCCAAAUUCGACAUAUGUUAUUCCACAAGCUUCUUCAGGCAGUGCUAUUUCUUCUAUGAUAGCACAGAUAUCUGCACAGGUAGCCAAUGCAUUGGCCGCAAAUCCGCAAGCAUUGGCUUCACUUACAUCAUCUGUGCUGAACCCAGCAGCCCAGGGGCCUCACCCAACCACAAACAAUGGAGCUGGCACCGUGAGCUCUGUUACAUCAGGAAAUACACAAUUACAAAAUGAGCUGCCGGGUUCUCAUCCUGGACAAACUUCACUGAACGUGCAACCUCAUGCAACUGGUGCAGGUACUGUGCCUUCAAAUGCACCCGAUCCCAGUUUGACACCACAAGACAUCAGUACUGUGAGUGUUUCCGAUGUUGAUAGCAGUCAACAACACUCGGGGGAAUCGGCAGCAGCCAGCUUAGGAGGACAGAUGACAGGCACACGCACAGGUGAUGUUCCUUUGGGCAUGCCAGCAGAAAAUUCUGAACUGAAGAGCAAGCCCUCGGAUGGAGAAACUGGAGAGUCUGCUAAACCUACUGCCAGUGGUGGGUCUGGUCCGCUUGGUCUUGGUGGUGGUCUGCAGCCCAAGAGACGUAGCAGAGUAACAAAGCUAUCUGGGACUAGCAGCGAUUCUGGGGAAGCUGUUAACACCCCUUCUGUCCCUAGAAGCCAGGAAGCUGUUCUGAUGGGACAGCAGGCUCUGCAAGCGCUUGUUUCAAGAGGUGCUAAUGUGAGCAGUGGCAGUGUUACGGCUUCUCCAGCUCCAUCUUCAACUCCUCGGUCUGCUGCUGGAAUGCCUGUGAGAAGACCGGGUGGUGAAGGGCAAGUUGACCUCGGCAGUAUGCUAUCAAGCGUUCUCAACAACCCGAUGUUUGGCAAUCUGAUGUCAAAUGUAGCUGCUCAAACAGGAAUGGAAUCACCAGCUGAUGUGAGGAACAUCAUGGAAGACUUGACACAGAACCGUGCGGUGAUGGACACCUUGAGCAGUAUGGUGCAAAAUGUGGAUGCGCCACAAAGGGGCCAAGGUGGUUUUGACUUGGCCAGUAUGAUGCAGCAGAUGAUGCCUGUUGUGUCACAAGUUCUUGGUGGAGCUUCACCUCGUCGUGCUGGUACAGAUGUGCAGCCUCGACAGAAUGACAGGGAAGUAAGCGGCGCUGCAGGUGGCAGAAGCUCUCAGAUGGAUCUUCAAGAAGCAUGUCAACGCAUCGAGCAACAUGAUGCCCCUGAGGAUAUCUUUGGUGCUGUCCUUGAGACCGCUGCUCAGGCUUAUGGCGACGACGAGAGCAUCGAGGUCAUGCUUGAAGAGCUUGCCAGUGACCCAGAGCUUGCUGAUGAGUACAUGAAGCUUCUGCUGGAGCAAGUCGGCGAGAGGGUGGAGUCCGAAUCGGAGGCCAAGACGCAGUCGUGA
rnacentral:rRNA from 1 species